CGGCGGCAGCUGGGGAGACGCGGGCGGAGCGCGGCGCGCAGCUGCCGGGCGAGCCCAGGCGGUGAGAGUGUGAGGCAGGAGGGCUGCGGCAGGGCUGCACCUGGCAGAGCCCGGCUGUGCUUUGCGUGUGUGCGUGCGCGCGCCGGGGGGUGCAUCUCACCGGAGCUGGAGUAGUACUUUGCUUCCCCGCCCCGUAGAGCUGCGGCAGUCUUUCGCCGUCUCGACUGCAGCGGGGAUGCUGAUAAAUACACGCGCUUCUCCUCUCCUACCGAGGUACCUGGUAGUUUGAAAUAAAUACACCCAGCUAUUCUGUGGCACUGAACUACAGUUAUGCAAGGAAGCUGAUUCUGCACCUGCUUAUGAAUCCAGUCUGAAGGCCUACAGCAUGUCAGAGAGCAUCGGCCAGGACUCAGG
rnacentral:lncRNA from 1 species